GAAAUGGAUUUGUAAAAAUUAUAUAAUGUGUCAAUUUUAAUUUGUAUUUUAGGUUCUUUCUGAGACAAAUGUUUUCAUGGUGUGGGAGUAAGACUUGGUGGUCUAAUACAGCUAAUAUGUAGGUUAGCAUCACAGCUUGUCUGUAAGGAUUGAGGCUGAGAAGGGCCAUUGGCGCUGACUUUUAUGAUAAUUUUAACUGUGGCUGCAUUAAAUGGCUGUGUGAUGUAACAGUAAAGAAUGUAAUUCAGACAAUUUUUGUGUAUGUUUCAGGAAUUGUUAAUAAUUUUUAACAUAAAAAAAAAAAAAAAAAGAUUGUAAAGAUUCUCCAUUUUCAACCGGAUAUGAAGUUGUACAUUAUCUUGUAUUUUGAAUUUGAUAUGUUUCCUUUUUAGCCCCAUGUGUUAUUCCGAUAGCUCUGCUCAUGUCCAUUAUUGUCUGACAUUUUUUUGUCAUGGUUAAGGAUAAUGAUCUGGUUUUGACCUACUUUAGAUGUAUUGAUUAUGGUCAGUGUCUAGUCCAAACACUUCCAGUAGGUUAAGAAUGGAUAAUCUAAAAAAAAGAAGAAAAAAGAAAAAGAAAAGAAAAAAAUGUUAUUGUAUUGAACAGUAUUUUUUGGGUUUCCCGAUUGUUAGAUAUUUAUCUUGUAAUUUUUUUUGUUUUUUUUAUGCUGCGUUUGUAAUGAAGCAUAAACAUUUUUAAGAAUAUUGUGAAAAAGUAUAGUUGAAGAAUAGCUUGGGGGAAAUAUAUUGAUUGAUUGAUUGAUUUUUGGUGCUUAACAUCUCUUUACACACGAUUGGCCACCAUGGCCCAUAGGUGAACACUAAAGUAAAAUUUAUUAAAAUGUGCUGAAUUUUUGUUAUUUUAUUAUUUUUUAAUUUUAAUUGUGCUAUAUUUUAUAUUUUUGUAAAAUAUAGCAAGAAUGUGGAUUUUUAACGGUGAAAUUUUGGGCAAAGGGAAGUAAUACCCCUGUUUAACUCAUCAUAUUUUCUGAGAAAUUCCCUCAGUAAUAGGAAAUUUAACUUAUAAUGUACUUUAAGAUUGAUAUUUGUAUAAGUUUGGUGUUUUUAAAUAUCAGAUGUAUACUUGCUAAAAUUUACUAUUAUUUAGAGCUCUGUAAAAGAAAAAAUAUGUAAACAAAAGUCUAAAUAAUAGAUAUGUAGGGUGGGAUCUGUUAUGGUUUGGUUAUUUGGUAAAAAUCAUUUGAUAAAUUUUUUCAAAAAAGCUGAUUUUUCAAAAGAGCAUCUGAUAUUUUUAUAUGUAUAAAUUUAUUAAGAAAAACAAACGGACAAAAAAAUAGAUUGACAAAAAGAUGAGGACAGCAACCUUGGCAGCCAGAAAAACAGCUCUAAGGAAGAUGGUCAAUUAAAUCUUAACCAAGUCUGAGGCUUUACUAUGAGAAAUAUGUGGAUGUUGUAAUGACAAUGUUUUCAUAGGUGUUGGGAGUAAGACUUGGAUAUCUGAUACUGUUAAAAUGUUGGUUAGCAUCACAGCAUUGCCAUAGGGUUACUUGUUGGGGUUGUAAUCGGAGCUGAUUUAAGUUGAAGUGUUACUGUUGCUGCCUUGUAUGGUAAAAUACUCAGACAAUAAUCCUGCAAACCAUCGGAUGUACUGUUGCUAUAUUUUUAGUAGAAUCCGUAGACAGUAAUUUAUUGUAAGCAGAAGAAUGAAUUUUGUUUUUAUUGCUGUGUAUUGAGGUAUCAAAAUUAUAGAUAUAUUUUUUUCAUUAUUUUUACAUGCAUUCAAUUAUUGUAUUAUGAUCGAUGAAAAAUAAAACUGCAAAAUUAUUUUAUUUGAGGGACUCCAAAGGUAUGCUCUAUUGGUUUCACAAAGUACCCAUAAGACAUAUAUUAGUUUAAACAUGUAUUUUUUAUGUUUUGUAUGUGUAAGUCUUACAAGUGCUUUGUGAAAUGAAUUUUGCAAAAAAUCAAUAAAGUAGAAAUUUGAUGGCUAAACACUGAAGGGAAUAUAAAAUAUAUUCCCGGUAAUUUAAAUUUGGUGAUUGUGAAUGCAAAUAAAAAUGUUUGGUUAUGUUUUGGGUUUGACUCCACUUUCUGUACAUUUAAACAAAUAAAUGGCUGUCAGUUUUUUUUAUUGGUUUUGUUUAUAUAUAAUAAAUGCAUUAUUCAGCAUCUGACGCCACUCAAGUAAAAAUAAUUACACAGUUUUUGCAGAUUCUUUUUUUUCCAUUUUUAUGUGAUGAUUUUUAUGUUGUUUCUCGUUCAUUGUUAUUUAUAUUGUUAAGGACGUAUUUUAAGGUUUUUUUCAGUCUUGUGCUCAACUUCUUAUGAACUAUUUACCCAAGAUUAUAAUCAGGAACCUAUAAAGUAUUUUUUUAUUGAUUUUGAUGGGCAAAUUACUGUUUAAUGUCCAGUGGCAAAUUAAAUGCAUUUUAGGAUAACAUGAAAAUGUGAUAUGAAUAUAGACCCGGCUUUGUACAAGAAUGACACCCUGAGCUAGAUUUUUUAAUGUGCUGCCCUGCUCACACGGUAACAAUCUGCAGGAAGACAUGUAACCAUACCCGGACACAUUAUUCUGACUUGGAGCCCACCAGUCUUUGCACUUGCUCCUAAAUGCUGCAUGAUUAGCAAUUUCCCAUGACCUUCUGCACUCGAAGCAAGCAUGAAAUGGUCAGUUAAAGCAGAUUUAUCUGUCUGUUUGUCCAUCAUCAUCUCUCAUCCAUAGCUUAUAUUACUAUUUGAAGGUGUUUAUUAAAACUUUCAGAUUCUUGUGAAGGAUAGGUUGGUUUGAAUAUUUUCUGUGUUUUUAAUCUGUUUUUAAUAGUUCGAUCUCAUUAUGACUAAAUUUUCAUAACAUUAAAAAGAAUUUAGAAUAAAAUUUGCUUUAAGACACUAAUAUAUUACCACUGUAGCUUUUAAUUAAACUUGAUAAGGCUUUUCUAUAACAAGAUUUGUGUUUUAUCUGGUUUUAUAUUAUUUUAGUGGUUUUUAUAUGAUUUUAUUUGUUUUUAUUGUCAAAACUUGUUAUACCAAGCCUUAAUAUGAUCAAGUUUUUGGUCAAAAUUGAUAGAUUUUCUUAUACAUGUACAUGUAAUACAAAAUUUUUAUUUACGUAAUGAGAUCUGACAUGUUUAUGCUUUUAACUCUUUCUUCAAAGAUAAAAUAGAAAAUGAAUGAAUUAAGCUAUUAUUGAUUCAAUCCUUGAAUAUUAACCAAAUUGCAAGAUUUAUGGAUGCAAGUUCAGAAUCUGCUCUAACUAAAUAUAUGUUCAUAUCAGAUGAACCAUCCUAUCCUUCAAUAAUGAGUAAUAAGAUGAUAGAAAUGUAAAAAUCCAUUGCACCAUUGGAGAACCUUUAGAAGUAAAAAAAAAGGAAUACAAUGUCAACAGAUACUGAAGAAUAUUUGAAAGUUUAGGAAAAGUUCAUUUGAUCCUUUAAUUAUGGUUGGAACUUGUAGAUGGAUGAGCAAACAGAUGAUACACUUGCUUACUAUACUACAUUUCCUUAUGGAUAAAUCGGACUAUGGAUGAUUGGAUGGAGUGUUGUCUCAUUGGCACUCAUACCACUUCUUCUUAUUUUUUUUUAUAAGAAAUAAAACUUGAUUCUAAUUAUUCCCUUACUUGGAAAAAGUACUUGAUUCCUUAAAUGAAAAUAUAUACCGGUAUACAUAUACUACUUCAAGAUAGAAAUUAAAUUCGUUUGCUAAGAAAUAGGGUGGAAAAUAAAUAAAACCUUAAAAAAACACCUUAGGGUUAAAUAUGAGGAAUUAAAUAGUAAUUUUUUUACCUUAGUGAUUUAAUAAUUUGCGCACAGAUCAAGAUUUUUAGUAAAUAUGUUGAGUACAUCUCAAAAAUGAAUUUAUUUCAUGUAUUUUAAACCUUUUUUAUCACAGUUUUUACCAGAGUUUUCCUUUGUAUGAAAAUUGUUAUAUUUUUAUAGUCUUUUUUAAAAGGAUAAGACAAACUGAGGAUUCAUAGAUUUUAUGGAAUUCUUUCAAAAAAAAAGUUUGGUAUUAAGUAAUGUGAAGCCUCAAGUUUUUAUAUUAAGCAAAAAAAAAAGUAAUUUUAAUAGAAUCUUAUACAAAACUUAAAACAAAAACUGUAUCUCAAAACGGACAUCUUUUUUUCUGUAACAACCAAUCUGAGAAAUUGAUCAGAAAGAAUCCUCAGUACUGUUAUUUAUUUAUUUUGUAUAAUUGUAAUAUUUACCUAACCUAUGAUUCAGGUCCUUUUCCUCCUUGUAAUUAUACAGUUAAUUUUUAACUGGUAGUGGCGGAUCCAGGGAAAGGGGGGGAUUGUACAGGCAUACUCCCCUUUUAUUUGCACAAAAAAAUCUCAUGUUUCUCAGUUAAUAUGAUAUUUUAGCAUAAAAAUUUUCCAAAAUUUUUUUUUCACCUAGCUAAGCUUGGUGAAUUAUAUACAGUUUUACAAAAUUUCACCCCUCUUUUUGAAAAAUCCUGGAUCUGUAACUGACUGUGGCCAAAAGCUUAAUAGUUACAAUUUCUUUUAUAUUUAUGUACACCUGAUGACACAGAUUGUGUCUUGUUUCAUUUGGGUAUUUUGUAUUAUGAUGCAUGAUGAUAAUAAAAUUAAAUGGUAAAUAAAAUUUAUUUGAGAAAA